rnacentral:lncRNA from 10 species
AAAAUGUCCUAUUGAGAAAAUUAAAGCCAUACAAUUCUAGAAUUAGAUCUUCACAUCAUUCUAUCUUAAAGAUGAGGAACUGAGGCUUAGAUAACUCAUAGUAACUUGAUGAAGUCAUGUUUGGUUAGUAUUUUAGAGCUUAAUGAGCUUUCAAGGUGCUGUUCUUUUUCUGUUCCCUUUCCUUUAGUCGCUUUGGUCUGUGGGUGAUCUGUUCCGGGGCCACCAUCUCUAAAAUACUGAAAUUCCUACAGUCCUCACUGAGGGAGGUGCAGAGGACAGGGAGCAACCAUUUACCUCUCAAUCCUGGGUAUGCUUACCCAGUGACUUCUGUAUAGCAGACACUCAAUAUAUAUUUUCUUUGUGAAUAACUAGAUUAGCAGAAAAAAACAAC